UGGGGAAUAUUGGGCAAUGGGCGAAAGCCUGACCCAGCGACGCCGCGUGAGGGAAGAAGGUCUUCGGAUUGUAAACCUUUGUUGACAGGGACGAAUAAAAUGACGGUACCUGUCGAGGAAGCCACGGCUAACUACGUGCCAGCAGCCGCGGUAAUACGUAGGUGGCAAGCGUUAUCCGGAUUUACUGGGUGUAAAGGGUGUGUAGGCGGGAAAGCAAGUCAGAUGUGAAAAUUAUGGGCUCAACCCAUAACCUGCAUUUGAAACUGUUUUUCUUGAGAGUCGGAGAGGUAAACGGAAUUCCCAGUGUAGCGGUGAAAUGCGUAGAUAUUGGGAGGAACACCAGUGGCGAAGGCGGUUUACUGGACGACAACUGACGCUGAGACACGAAAGCGUGGGGAGCAAACAGG
rnacentral:rRNA from 2 species